UACGGAGGGUGCAAGCGUUAUCCGGAUUCACUGGGCUUAAAGGGAGCGCAGGCGGCUUGGUAAGUCAGUGGUGAAAGGCUUGAGCUUAACUCGGGAACUGCCAUUGAUACUAUCAGUCUUGAAUAUUGUUGAGGUUUGCGGAAUGGGUCAUGUAGCGGUGAAAUGCUUAGAUAUGACAUAGAACACCAAUUGCGAAGGCAGCUGGCUACACAAAUAUUGACACUGAGGCACGAAAGCGUGGGGAUCAAACAGG
rnacentral:rRNA from 1 species